UACGUAGGGGGCUAGCGUUGUCCGGAAUCAUUGGGCGUAAAGCGCGUGUAGGCGGCCCGGUAAGUCCGCUGUGAAAGUCGGGGGCUCAACCCUCGGAUGCCGGUGGAUACUGUCGGGCUUGAGUGCGUAAGAGGCGAGUGGAAUUCCUGGUGUAGCGGUGAAAUGCGCAGAUAUCAGGAGGAACACCAAUUGCGAAGGCAGCUCGCUGGGACGUUACUGACACUGAGGCGCGAAAGCGUGGGGAGCGAACAGG
rnacentral:rRNA from 1 species